rnacentral:rRNA from 1 species
AUUGAACGCUGGCGGCAGGCCUAACACAUGCAAGUCGGACGGUAGCACAGAGAGCUUGCUCUCGGGUGACGAGUGGCGGACGGGUGAGUAAUGUCUGGGGAUCUGCCCGAUAGAGGGGGAUAACCACUGGAAACGGUGGCUAAUACCGCAUAACGUCGCAAGACCAAAGAGGGGGACCUUCGGGCCUCUCACUAUCGGAUGAACCCAGAUGGGAUUAGCUAGUAGGCGGGGUAAUGGCCCACCUAGGCGACGAUCCUUAGCUGGUCUGAGAGGAUGACCAGCCACACUGGAACUGAGACACGGUCCAGACUCCUACGGGAGGCAGCAGUGGGGAAUAUUGCACAAUGGGCGCAAGCCUGAUGCAGCCAUGCCGCGUGUAUGAAGAAGGCCUUCGGGUUGUAAAGUACUUUCAGCGGGGAGGAAGGCGAUGUGGUUAAUAACCGCAUUGAUUGACGUUACCCGCAGAAGAAGCACCGGCUAACUCCGUGCCAGCAGCCGCUGUAA